rnacentral:rRNA from 1 species
GUGGGGAAUAUUGGACAAUGGGGGGAACCCUGAUCCAGCCAUGCCGCGUGUGUGAAGAAGGCCUUUUGGUUGUAAAGCACUUUAAGUGGGGAGGAGGCUUACCUAGUUAAUACCUGGGCUAAGUGGACGUUACCCACAGAAUAAGCACCGGCUAACUCUGUGCCAGCAGCCGCGGUAAUACAGAGGGUGCGAGCGUUAAUCGGAUUUACUGGGCGUAAAGCGCGCGUAGGUGGUUAAUUAAGUCAAAUGUGAAAUCCCCGAGCUUAACUUGGGAAUUGCAUUCGAGACUGGUUGGCUAGAGUAUGGGAGAGGAUGGUAGAAUUCCAGGUGUAGCGGUGAAAUGCGUAGAGAUCUGGAGGAAUACCGAUGGCGAAGGCAGCCAUCUGGCCUAAUACUGACACUGAGGUGCGAAAGCAUGGGGAGCAAACAGGAUUAGAAACCCCGGUAGUCC